rnacentral:lncRNA from 1 species
CAAGUUUUCGUGUCUGCAAAAGGAAGAGAAAGAACAGCAUCAAGGAGCCUUAUACAUAGAACUAGGAAAAUUCGUUAAUGCCAGAGAAAAUAAUAUUAUAAAUUGGUGUACAUAUGUUGGGUUGGUUCGACUUUUCUAAUUACCAAACCAAAUCAAUUGUGUCGGGCUAUUAAAUUUAAAGACCAAACCAAACCAAUACAAGUCAGGUUCUUUUAUCUCGGUUUUUCUCGAAUUUUUUCGAGUUUUUUAUUUAAUCUAACGACCAAACAAAUUGUGUUCCAAAUAUUUUUUUUAAUCCUAGUAAGACAUAACUAUAUAACGCGUUUUUCAAGAAAAUAACAUAAAAUAUGAGAUGAGCCAUGGCAUUGUGUUAAAAUAUUCAACAAUAAAAAUAAUAAAAUCGCAUAAAAUAAAUAUUAUUAAUAAGUCAUAAUAAAAAUAAACAUAAUCUAGAAUUACUAAGUUGCUAAAAUAACUACGACUAAUAAGUACUAUUGUUUACAUGACUAAACACUAAAAAAAUAAGUUAUACACUUUAUUUAAAUCAUAAAAAAGCUAAAAAAAAAUAAAUAUCCAACACUAUUAUCAUUCCUAAUACAAUUGAAUUGAAUUCAUUUUAUUAGCAUUAAUAUUGAUUGGCCAAAUACAUAAUCAACCCCUUAAACUUGUCCUUUUUUUUCAAUGUAGACACUUUUAUCUAGGGUCUAACCUAUUAAACACCUUAACCUCAUAGAAAACUAUCUAUUGAACCCUUAACGGACAAACUCUUACAAAAACAUGGAGCGUGGUUCUCAAACGCAGUAACAUGGCAAAAAUGACAUGUGGAAAAUAACCCAAAAACAAUGGACAACAAUGGCGGGUUCUAAUUAUAAAACCCCAUACUAUACUCCAACCUCAAAAACCUCUCCACUAGUUUAUGUCUCAUCAUCUUCAUUUGCAUCCUUCCAACUAGACUUCAUCAGUCAACAGAGCCAUGGCGUCAGAUGACACUGUUAACAUUUACCCGUCGGUACACUCGGUUUGAAGACACAAGAACUCGUUAAAGUAGGAACUGAGCAGGGAUCUGGUUUCUGUAUUCAUCGUCAAUGUUGAAAAUUAUAAAUUAAUCACAGCACCGUUAAAUCUGUCGAUUUUCUUUUUUCAUAAUCAAAUCAUGACAAUUAUUAUUAAAUAAAGUUAUAGCUGAAGCUCUGGACAAACAUAAAUGUCACAAAAUCCAUAAAAAGCUUAAUGUAACUAUGUAAGUAGAAGAAACAAAAGCAUUCUGUGCAAUUUUAAUGCAUACUUUCUGGUGAUGGUAAUUGAAAGAUAAAAAAUCUGUGUUUCUCUCCUCAAUUGUCACAGGGAAACCACCUUUCAUUUUCGUAGCAAAGUAGGACGAUGUAUUCAAGGACUGGUUCCAUACGGGUAACAACCAUAAACACCAGCUACCACCCUGAUCUGCAUUUGCAAGAAAGGAAAAAAAAUCCACUAACCAGAGAUCCAGUUUCCCACGAGGAAUUAACGGUGGAGAAAGCCGUUCAAAACUGAACUCGAUCGGUUUUAGGGUAGCAGCUUAGAUUCGCCAGAAGCUGCUCGAUAUUUUACUACUUUCUUUCUCUCAACGUCGCCGGUGACGAUCCAUUUGUUUUCCCCUCGGUCCGACAUAUCCAUCCUCUCUCUCUCCUCAAUUUAUC